ensembl:lncRNA
AUCACCCCCAGUAAAGAUGGAGAGAAUAAGGGUGGGAGGAUUGGGAGAACAGCUGUGUGCUAUAGCACAUUGACCUUGAAGGUCAGUAUCAGGUUAACAAGGCCUUUAGAUUCACAUUUCUGGCCCUUUCCAUGUGAAGGGCACAUCUGAAGCUGGCUGCAGUCACUGGAAGGUGCUGAUGUGACCAUGGAGCAGUGCUGUGUAACCACACCACCCAAAAAGCACGCAGGAGUGGAAAAAUGUCACUCACAUCGCAGAGAUGGAGAAGCAACAGAAUUCCUGAGUCUGGGGAGGAGAGCUACAAACCGGAUAGACUUUGCUGGGGUGGCUGUGAGGACGUCGCUGGUGGAUCGCCUCGUGGUAAAGCACAGCCACUCAGAUGAAGAAAAGCAUGAACUGUAAACAAAGGACUGCAAGAAAUGAAUGCGCUGUGCUACAGAGGGACGUCCAGGAACGCAUUAUUCAUUGGUAAGCUAAUAGAAAGAGUGAACUGGGAUAGCAGAGCACUUUGCUGACUGUGCUAAAUGGGGAGAUUCCAAAUGAACCCAGAGGAACAAUACCAAAAAAGGACCUAGAUAGACUAGAAAGCAACGAAAUACUGAGACUUAAUGUGGAAAAACUGUAAGUAAAUCUGCCUGGGGGAAACUAAUCCAAAACACAGAUGUUCCACUGGAGAGAGAAACCUUGAAAGUAGUUGUGUUACAGCAGACUGGGAAUGACAAGAGAGCUGAUGGUGAGACCCCAGCGCAGCAGAGCAUGCUGCUCGCUCUGCAGUGCCCCCACGAAAUGCUGAGUGUGGCGGUGUGAUCUGCAGAGAUAAUGCACUGUGUAUGCAGCUCUGAGAGGUGCAGUAUGGAGGAAAAGGAAAGAACUCAUCCAGCAUUGUACCACCACUCAGUAGGGUGUGAGGUCAGAGAUGAACCCAUAAAGACUGAAACAGCAGCACUGUGUGCUCAAUCACGUGGCACACAUAAAACCAAACACAUACCCAGAAACCCAGCAGCAGGCUGCCUGGGUUGCAAAGGUCGGGUGUGCCAAGAGGCCGUCCUUCAUCGUUCAUUGCCAAAUUUCCUCUUAAGUAUCAACCUCUGACUGACAGACCGAGCUCCACACAAAGGCCACAUCUGAAAAGGGUCUGACUGUGACUUCCUCAAGAAGUCUUAAGAAAAAGGCAUUAGAUAGAAGGUAAUUAAGGAAAUGUCCAGGUAGAAAUACUCAGAAGUGUUAAUCAGGACAUGGAAAAGGUAACUCUGUUCUGUGCUGGGUGGCAAGGCUGCUGCAGACAGCCCAAGGCAGCAGCUCAGGUGGUGGUAAUGCUGCUGCCUUCCCACCAGAGCUGUGUGUGGAACUGCAGCUGUGCAUGGCUUGAGCAGCUCUGGCACACGGCGCAGGCACCACUCAAAGCCUGCUGAUGGGGUUUGAUGCCCUGCGUGGUCUGCUGUGGGUGCCGGUGUGUCCCGGCAGUGGGUUGUGCUGGCGGCAGCAUGUGCUCCCAUCCACAGGAAUGCGUGGUGCGGGGAGCCCCGCUGCCAGCUCCUCUUUUAUUUCCGGAGAUGGAUGGAAUCCACUCCGGGAAGAGAGGCGGCUGGUGGCAGCACGCGGCAGCAAAGCCACUGGGGAGCGUUUCUUUCCACGCUUUGUCUGGGAGACCGCCUCAGGCCUUGCAGGGCGUUACGGGGAGGGAUGCAGAGGGUGUGCGAGGACGCGGUGAUGCUGAGCGGUGCCCGCGGGUACCCACCCCCCACCGGCUCCCCCAGGGCCGCGUUCCGAGGCUGCUGCAGACCCACAUUGCCACCUAGUGCCGGAGGAGCAGGCCGGCCGCGGGCACCCUGCGCUCCCGCACCGCUCCCCAGCCGGCCCCUACUCUCGUUGCGGAACCUUAAGGGGGGUGAGUAAAUCUUGUGCUGUUCUGCUGAAGACGCGGGGCUGGCACGCUCAGCUGAAAGGAUUCGCUGCUGCAUCCUGAAAACUAUACCAAGCAACUGGGUGACACGGUGCUGCUAUUAAACCUGCCCGGUGAAGUUGGCUGUCUCAGAUCAGGGAGAGCUCGCGUCUUUCUGACCCAGUACAGCUGAGGUUUGCCAUGCAGAGCAAGGCCAUCAGCCCUGCACACCGCAGGAAGGAAGGCGCAAAGCCUGAAGGAAGGCAUCUUCCUCACACGUCUUGAGCUUCUGUCAAGAGAGCUCAUGAGGAAAGAGGUGCUCGGAAGCACCAGCCGAUGCAGUCAGCUGCUCAGCCCACGAUGCUCUGAAGCUUGGGUUCAUCAGGCAGCAGGAAGCAAACAUGGGCUGCUUUGGUAGCUGGAAGUCAGCACAGGUCCGGAGGACUGGAAGAGCAUUUCACCUCCGGCCCACUGAAUUCCUGCUGCAACAUCCACCAGGUGAAGCUGUGGUCCUGAAAACAGAGCACCCAUUUACUGAGGCAAGGAAAAUUUCAGCUUCAAGCGGUUUUUAGAGGAUCUUUUUCCCUCCAAUACCAGAAUGGCAUUGAAAUCCAUUUGUUCGAGACUUGCUGUGCCACAAUAGAAAUCAUAGCUGCAUUCUUCUCUCAGAAAGAGGCAAGUCCUGUUUGAGAAGCGUUAGGUUUUCCUGACGUUCAGUCUCAGCUUCUGCUCAAGGUGUUCAAUGCUGUCUCUCUGGUGCAGAUCAAGGACCAGCUUCCUCCUCAAUACAAUUCUGCCUAAGCCCAUGCAUUUACACUGGGGAUGAAUUUUGUCCAUAAGGUUUGUGAUUCUUAGGCAGAGGCUUAUUGACAAACACUGUUCUGAAGACAUUUACAUGCAGCAAAGCUCAUAAGCCAGCAAACAUCUGUUCUCUCGUUAGCAGCCUCCUCAGCAUUUGUCCUGAAGGCAAAAAUCUACAGGACAAGUUUCCCAGCACCUAAACUACUGUAGGAUAAUUCUUUAACUAAAUGGAAAGCAAAGCCCAAGGACCUGGGAAUUCGCUUUUGUACAAUAAUCUUUUGUGUGCGUACAGUGGGAACCAGAGGAUUAUGGAGUCAAAUCAUGAGAAUUCAGGUCAAGUGAGAUUUGAGGGGGAAGGAGAAUGUGGCAGCAGCACCAGGGGGAAGGUAAGGAUCCCAGGGGAGGUAACGUGACGCUUGCAGAUAAGCCUGCUCUCGCCUGCUCUGCUGUCACGGUUUAAUUUUACACAUCAGUAUGAAAAUUUCUGAGCUUUGCUGAACAUCAGCUCUCUUUACUGUACAAAGUUCUUCUGCGUUGUGGUUCUUUUUUCUCUGUUAGCAGUUGCAUUAUUUUGGACUACCCUCAUGCCCAGGUUAUUUUCUUUCACCACCCCUCCAUUUUCUAUCUCUUUCACUGUUUUUGUACUAUCUGAAAGUGUGUUUAGAACUCCUUUCUCCAUUCCUCUCCUUGUUAUUUUUUUCAUUCCUACACACUUAACCUGGAUCAAGGGCUUUGAAGAUCCUCUAGACAUACAAAGCCAUUCAUUUACCUCAUCUGGACAUUUACUUUCUGGAAGGAAGGAAAUGUCACAUUUUUCAUCGUGCUUUUCUUUAAUGACGCUUCUUUUUCUGGCAAGGGAGUGAUCUGGAUAUCCAGACUGACACCCAGAAACUGUAUUCAAAGGGCUGCCAGCUCUUCCUACUGUGCAGACAGACCCAGCUGAAUUCAAUCAACAACAUGAACUCCACUGCUGUAGGACGUUAAGCUGAUGGGACGACCUGCUGUUGGGUAAUGGCUGCUGAGAAAACAGGGGAAUAGAAGGGGCUAAAUUAGAGAUGUAAACAGAAGAGGGAAGCAGGGCGUAGGAAAAUUCAGUCUUCUGCAAAACUGAGCAGAAGUGAAAAUGAGGACUUCCUUUAUCUUUUAAGAAGCCAGGCAAUAUGGAAGAAAGGUUAUGUUCUGUGUGUGGCGUAAAAUCCUGUCCCAGUCACCAUGUAUGGGACCUGGAACAAAAUACUUUCUCUACCACCUUUGAGAGAUCUAAUAUGCUAAAUGAGACAGGAGGGAGCCAUGGCACGAAGCAGCUUCCUCUGCAGCAGUGAGGGGAGCAGGGGACUGCAGGCACUUGAAGGAUGAAAGGACUGCAGGCUGGGAAAUGCUGAUGUGUCUAUCAGUAGACUUUAUUUUUCUUUCCUGGUCAUAGCAUUUUAGUUCUUCCAGGAAAGCAGUAUGAAUCUGCAUGGAUAGGGAAGCUUCAUUAUAUGAAAACUGCGUGUGGUGCUACGUUAUGUAUUUAUGCUAACUGGUGUACCACGCAUUUACUCACUGUUGUGUUAUUUGCUAG